rnacentral:rRNA from 1 species
UACGUAGGGGGCAAGCGUUGUCCGGAAUCAUUGGGCGUAAAGCGCGUGUAGGCGGUUCGAUAAGUCUGCUGUGAAAGUCCAGGGCUCAACCCUGGGAUGCCGGUGGAUACUGUCGGGCUAGAGUGCGGAAGAGGCGAGUGGAAUUCCCGGUGUAGCGGUGAAAUGCGCAGAUAUCGGGAGGAACACCAAUUGCGAAGGCAGCUCGCUGGGACGUAACUGACGCUGGAGACGCGAAAGCUAGGGGAGCAAACAGG